rnacentral:lncRNA from 1 species
CCCGUUGGCGGCCAUCUUGGAUGAUGGAUCGGCUACAAAGUAACAACACAUGGUCAGCACCUCAUAAGGAACAUUCAUGCCAUGUUUGGUUUCAUUCCAUUCAGUGGUUCUCUAAAAGAAGUCAUUUGUAUGCAUUUCCCAUAGGGUCCUAUGUUAAACUAAGUCCCCUGCUGGCGGCCAUCUUGGAUGAUGGAUCGGCUACAAAGUAACAACACUUGGUCAACACCUCAUAAGGAACAUUCAUGCCAUGUUUGGUUUCAUUCCAUUCAGUGGUUCUCUAAAAGAAAUCAUUUGUAUGCAUUUCCCAUAGGGUCCUAUGUUAAACUAAGUCCCCCGCUGGCGGCCAUCUUGGAUGAUGGAUCGGCUACAAAGUAACAACACUUG